rfam:Ovis aries breed Texel chromosome 8, whole genome shotgun sequence.
UCCCUGGUGGCUCAGAGGCUAAAGCAUCUGCCUGCAAUGCAGGAGACCUGGGUUCGAUCCCUGGGUUGGGAA